rnacentral:rRNA from 1 species
CAGCAGCCGCGGUAAUACCGGCGGCCCGAGUGGUGGCCGCUAUUAUUGGGCCUAAAGCGUCCGUAGCCGGGCCCGUAAGUCCCUGGCGAAAUCCCACGGCUCAACCGUGGGGCUUGCUGGGGAUACUGCGGGCCUUGGGACCGGGAGAGGCCGAGGGUAUUCCCGGAGUAGGGGUGAAAUCCUAUAAUCCCGGGAGGACCACCUGUGGCGAAGGCGCUCGGCUGGAACGCGUCCGACGGUGAGGGACGAAGGCCAGGGGAGCAAACCGGAUUAGAUACCCGGGUAGUCCUGGCUGUAAACGAUGCGGACUUUGUGUCGGACAAGCUAUGAGCUUGUCCGGUGCCGGAGGGAAACCGUUAAGUCCGCCGCCUGGGGAGUACGGCCGCAAGGCUGAAACUUAAAGGAAUUGGCGGG